GACGAACGCUGGCGGCGUGCUUAACACAUGCAAGUCGAACGAGAAAGCCCUUCGGGGUAAGUACAGUGGCGAACGGGUGAGUAACACGUGGGCAACCUGCCCCAGAGAGCGGGACAACCCGGGGAAACCCGGGCUAAUACCGCAUGAUGCGUCUCCACUUAAGUGGAGCCGUCAAAUGGCAGCUUCGGCCUCCGCUCUGGGAUGGGCCCGCGCCGGAUUAGCUAGUUGGGUGGGGUAACGGCCCACCAAGGCGACGAUCCGUAGCUGGUCUGAGAGGGAGAUCAGCCACACUGGGACUGAGACACGGCCCAGACCCCUACGGGAGGCAGCAGUGGGGAAUCUUGCGCAAUGGGCGAAAGCCUGACGCAGCAACGCCGCGUGGGGGAAGAAGGCCUUCGGGUUGUAAACCUCUUUCAGUAGGGACGAAGCUUCCGGGGUUAAUAGCCUACGGGGUGACGGUACCUACAGAAGAAGCCCCGGCUAACUACGUGCCAGCCGCCGCCUAAA
rnacentral:rRNA from 1 species